rnacentral:rRNA from 1 species
GACGAACGCUGGCGGCGUGCUUAACACAUGCAAGUCGAGCGAGGCCCCUUCUUCGGGAGGGUGUCCUAGCGGCGAACGGGUGAGUAACACGUGGGCAACCUGCCCCCGGCUCUGGGAUAACUCCAAGAAAUUGGGGCUAAUACCGGAUAUGACCGCUGACCGCAUGGUCUGGUGGUGGAAAGAUUUAUCGGCUGGGGAUGGGCCCGCGGCCUAUCAGCUUGUUGGUGGGGUAGUGGCCUACCAAGGCGACGACGGGUAGCCGGCCUGGGAGGGUGGCCGGCCACACGGGGACGGAGACACGGCCCAGACUCCUACGGGAGGCAGCAGUGGGGAAUAUUGCGCAAUGGGCGAAAGCCUGACGCAGCGACGCCGCGUGGGGGAUGACGGCCUUCGGGUUGUAAACCUCUUUCAGCAGGGACGAAGCGCAAGUGACGGUACCUGCAGAAGAAGCACCGGCCAACUACGUGCCAGCCGCCGCGGUAACAC